ACGACGCUGGCGGCGUGCCUAAUACAUGCAAGUCGAGCGAACAGAAGGGAGCUUGCUCCCGGAUGUUAGCGGCGGACGGGUGAGUAACACGUGGGUAACCUGCCUGUAAGACUGGGAUAACUCCGGGAAACCGGAGCUAAUACCGGAUAGUUCCUUGAACCGCAUGGUUCAAGGAUGAAAGACGGUUUCGGCUGUCACUUACAGAUGGACCCGCGGCGCAUUAGCUAGUUGGUGGGGUAAUGGCUCACCAAGGCGACGAUGCGUAGCCGACCUGAGAGGGUGAUCGGCCACACUGGGACUGAGACACGGCCCAGACUCCUACGGGAGGCAGCAGUAGGGAAUCUUCCGCAAUGGACGAAAGUCUGACGGAGCAACGCCGCGUGAGUGAUGAAGGUUUUCGGAUCGUAAAGCUCUGUUGUUAGGGAAGAACAAGUGCGAGAGUAACUGCUCGCACCUUGACGGUACCUAACCAGAAAGCCACGGCUAACUACGUGCCAGCAGCCGCGGUAAUACGUAGGUGGCAAGCGUUGUCCGGAAUUAUUGGGCGUACCGGGCUCGCAGGCGGUUUCUUAAGUCUGAUGUGAAAGCCCCCGGCUCAACCGGGGAGGGUCAUUGGAAACUGGGAAACUUGAGUGCAGAAGAGGAGAGUGGAAUUCCACGUGUAGCGGUGAAAUGCGUAGAGAUGUGGAGGAACACCAGUGGCGAAGGCGACUCUCUGGUCUGUAACUGACGCUGAGGAGCGAAAGCGUGGGGAGCGAACAGGAUUAGAUACCCUGGUAGUCCACGCCGUAAACGAUGAGUGCUAAGUGUUAGGGGGUUUCCGCCCCUUAGUGCUGCAGCUAACGCAUUAAGCACUCCGCCUGGGGAGUACGGUCGCAAGACUGAAACUCAAAGGAAUUGACGGGGGCCCGCACAAGCGGUGGAGCAUGUGGUUUAAUUCGAAGCAACGCGAAGAACCUUACCAGGUCUUGACAUCCUCUGACAACCCUAGAGAUAGGGCUUUCCCUUCGGGGACAGAGUGACAGGUGGUGCAUGGUUGUCGUCAGCUCGUGUCGUGAGAUGUUGGGUUAAGUCCCGCAACGAGCGCAACCCUUGAUCUUAGUUGCCAGCAUUCAGUUGGGCACUCUAAGGUGACUGCCGGUGACAAACCGGAG
rnacentral:rRNA from 1 species